GAUGAACGCUGGCGGCGUGCCUAACACAUGCAAGUCGAACGGAAAGACCCUGCUCUUGUGCGGUGCUCGAUUGCCGAACGCGUGAGUAUCACGUGUGUAACCUGCCCUUGUCUUUCGGGUAACUUCACGAAACUGGGGCUAAUAUCGGAUAGGAUAUCCUGCACCGUGGUGGGCGUUGGAAAGUUUCGGCGGUUGGGGAUGGACUCGCGGCUUAUCAGCUUGUUGGUGGGGUAGUGGCUUACCAAGCCUUUGACGGGUAGGCGGCCUGAGAGCGUGGACGGCCACAAGAGUACUGAGAGACGGCGCAGUAGCCAACGUUCGGCAAUGGGCGAAAGCCUUACACAGCAAGCCGAAGCGUGUUACGACGGCCCCGGGUUCGUAAAGAUGGCCUAUUGGGUAUGAACAGCUUUCGACUGUGACGAAGCGGUCGUGACGGUAAUGAGUAAAGAAGCACCGGCUAACUACGUG
rnacentral:rRNA from 1 species